AUAUGUUCUUCGUGAACAUGGCGUACUGCUCAGUAACACGUGGAUAACCUGCCCUUGGGUCCGGCAUAACCCCGGGAAACUGGGGAUAAUUCCGGAUAACGCAUAUAUGCUGGAAUGCUUUAUGCGUCAAAUGGAUUCGUCUGCCCAAGGAUGGGUCUGCGGCCUAUCAGGUAGUAGUGGGUGUAAUGUACCUACUAGCCGACGACGGGUACGGGUUGUGAGAGCAAGAGCCCGGAGAUGGAUUCUGAGACAUGAAUCCAGGCCCUACGGGGCGCAGCAGGCGCGAAAACUUUACAAUGCGGGAAACCGUGAUAAGGGGACACCGAGUGCCAGCAUCAUAUGCUGGCUGUCCGGGUGUGUAAAAUACACCUGUUAGCAAGGGCCGGGCAAGACCGGUGCCAGCCGCCGCGGUAACACCGGCGGCCCGAGUGGUGAUCGUGAUUAUUGGGUCUAAAGGGUCCGUAGCCGGUUUGGUCAGUCCUCCGGGAAAUCUGACGGCUUAACCGUUAGGCUUUCGGAGGAUACUGCCAGGCUUGGAACCGGGAGAGGUAAGAGGUACUACAGGGGUAGGAGUGAAAUCUUGUAAUCCCUGUGGGACCACCUGUGGCGAAGGCGUCUUACCAGAACGGGUUCGACGGUGA
rnacentral:rRNA from 1 species